AUAUCAGUAAGCGGAGGAAAAGAAACUAACUAGGAUUGCCUUAGUAGCGGCGAGUGAAGAGGCAUCAGCUCAAAGUGUAAAUCUGUGCAAACAGAAUUGUAAUCUAUAGAAAUUCUCAGGAGAAACAAAUCGGUCAUAAGUCCCUUGGAAAAGGGUGCCAAAGAGGGUGAUAGCCCCGUCUUAGGAUCGACGAGUUCGUAUGAGGGUUUUCUAAGAGUCGGGUAGUUUGGGAAUGCUGCCCUAAUUAGGAGAUAUACUUCUUCUAAGGCUAAAUAUCUAUAGGAGACCGAUAGCGCACAAGUA
rnacentral:rRNA from 1 species